GCCAGGUGUGGUGGCACAUGCCUGUAAUCCCAGCAGCUUGGGAGGCUGAGGCAGGAGGGUCACAAGUUUGAGGUCAGCCUCAGCAACUUACCAAGGCCCAAAGUGACUAGUGAGACCUUGUCUCAA
rnacentral:SRP_RNA from 1 species